CACCGAGGUGAACAUCUCUACUGUGAACCAUGAAUGCUGUGCAAAACUCCAUGAAGAAUGAGGGAAGAAAGGAAGAUGAAAGAUGUACAGAAGCAAAACCCGCCUUGACUCUAAGACAAGUGAUAUGUCUGGUGGCGAUCGGCGGCACCAAACUCCUGAAUGGAAUGAUGUCUGGCUGGCCCGCGGUUUUGCCCAAGAUGCAGGAGGACCAAAGCAGGUUCACGGUGACGGACGAGGACGUGGCCUGGAUCA